rnacentral:rRNA from 1 species
UACAGAGGGUGCAAGCGUUGUUCGGAAUUAUUGGGCGUAAAGGGCGCGUAGGCGGUGCGGUAAGUCUGUAGUGAAAUCUCUGGGCUCAACUCAGAGUCUGCUGCAGAAACUGCCGUGCUUGAGUGUGGGAGAGGUGAGUGGAAUUCCCGGUGUAGCGGUGAAAUGCGCAGAUAUCAGGAGGAACACCAAUGGCGAAGGCAGCUCGCUGGGACGGUACUGACGCUGAGGCGCGAAAGCGUGGGGAGCAAACAGG